rnacentral:rRNA from 1 species
GGGGAAUAUUGGACAAUGGGGGCAACCCUGAUCCAGCCAUGCCGCGUGUGUGAAGAAGGCCUUCGGGUUGUAAACCGCUUUUGUCAGGGAAGAAAUCUUCUGGGUUAAUACCUCGGGAGGAUGACGGUACCUGAAGAAUAAGCACCGGCUAACUACGUGCCAGCAGCCGCGGUAAUACGUAGGGUGCGAGCGUUAAUCGGAAUUAUUGGGCGUAAAGCGUGCGCAGGCGGUCUUGCGAGACAGGUGUGAAAUCCCCGGGCUUAACCUGGGAACUGCACUUGUGACUGCAAGGCUGGAGUACGGCAGAGGGGGAUGGAAUUCCGCGUGUAGCAGUGAAAUGCGUAGAUAUGCGGAGGAACACCGAUGGCGAAGGCAAUCCCCUGGGCCUGUACUGACGCUCAUGCACGAAAGCGUGGGGAGCAAAC